rnacentral:rRNA from 1 species
AUUGAACGCUGGCGGCAGGCCUAACACAUGCAAGUCGAACGGUAACAGGAAGCAGCUUGCUGCUUUGCUGACGAGUGGCGGACGGGUGAGUAAUGUCUGGGAAACUGCCUGAUGGAGGGGGAUAACUACUGGAAACGGUAGCUAAUACCGCAUAACGUCGCAAGACCAAAGAGGGGGACCUUCGGGCCUCUUGCCAUCGGAUGUGCCCAGAUGGGAUUAGCUAGUAGGUGGGGUAACGGCUCACCUAGGCGACGAUCCCUAGCUGGUCUGAGAGGAUGACCAGCCACACUGGAACUGAGACACGGUCCAGACUCUUACGGGAGGCAGCAGUGGGGAAUAUUGCACAAAGGGCGCAAGCCUGAUGCAGCCAUGCCGCGUGUAUGAAGAAGGCCUUCGGGUUGUAAAGUACUUUCAGCGGGGAGGAAGGGAGUAAAGUUAAUACCUUUGCUCAUUGACGUUACCCGCAGAAGAAGCACCGGCUAACUCCGUG